CAGGAAAGCCUUGAAGUUCUUUCCUCUGCCACAACUUUAAUCUCAGUAGCCUGGCUUCUCAGAGGUGACAUGUGCAUUACCAGACACUCACCCUUUCUGUAACGAUUGGGACUUUUUUCCACUCAUGUCCCAUGAGUAGAGCAAGGCACGUGAAAGACAAAAUGUGAAGACAUUUUUAUGAAAACUUAUCCCAGAAGGGUACUGGCUGUCCUGCAGCUACCUCUGCAGACCAGACUUCCCUCAAACUCAGGGGUUCUCCUGUUUCUCCCAUGCUGGAUUGAAGGAUCUUCCACCAUCACCUGACUAA
rnacentral:lncRNA from 1 species